CAACCUUUUUUUGUCUACUGCCCACUUUAAGAAUAAAUUAUUUUUUAACGCCCCCCUUUUUAAACAUACUUAAAAACCGCUAAGUACUUAUAACUGAUUAUUGAAACGCAAAUUUAUAGUAUUCGGACAGAGUAUCUUUUAUUGAAAAUAAAACAAACAUAAUCAAUUCUUAUAUAAAAACUAAUGUGAAGGUUGAAUCUGAUGCUGUUCAAUAAGUUUGUUGAUAUCAGGUUCCAAUUUACUCAAAAACAAAGGCGACGACGGGUUUGUGGGAUUUUCAAUAAAUCCGAAUUUAAUAUAUUCCGCAGAGUAUUGCCGUCUCUUCUUUUUUACCAGUAUUAUAGAACCAGCCGAUUGGUAUAGGAAUGUACAAUUCGGAUUAUUUAACAAAAUCUUGUUAAAACAUGAUUGCCCGCGGUCUUUUAUAUCGAACCGAGUUUGAGCUAUAUCUUAAUUAAUAUUAGUUGAUGUUCACAAGAUGUAGUCAAGAGUCGAGAGCUCAGUCGGUGUCUAAGAGUCUUCCUAGCUAGGUAGAUGAAAUUAUAAAUCGACCCCAAAGCCCUACACAAUGCCCCCUUUUUUUCCUGGGUCUUUUACCGCCCCCCUUUAGGCCUGCAGCGCCCACAAGGGGGCGUUAUCGCCCACGUUGGGAAAGACUGGUCAAAGGAGUUUAUAUU